GCGAGACUAACCACCAAUUAAGACAGCUUUAUCUUAUCUAUGCUUUUAUAAUAACAGUGGAAAACCCUUGUACUUAUACCGGCAUUGCCCUAUUCAAUUCAGGCAUUGCCUGCCCGGCCCCUGCCCAACAGCAACACUGAAAGAAGGAGAAUAACGAGAUAAAGUGGAGAAGAUGUUGUAUCAUAUAAUGAUUAUAAUAUUACUGAGUAUCUGUUGUAUUGAUGGUAGUGAAGGAUCUAUUGAUAUUAAUAAAAGAUUGAGAGGAGUACCAAUGACUGAUACUAGUGAAGGGAACAAGUUCUGUUUCUCUUUCCUUGAUAGUGUAGGAUCUGGAAGUGGAGAUAGGAGUGCUACGAAAAACCCUUGGAAUAUACAUUGGUACCC